rnacentral:lncRNA from 1 species
GGGAGAAUGUUUAAUUGGGUAAUUACCCAGGUUCAGUUCUCUGAACUUGCUUAAUUCCCUGGAUAACAAAAAAAAGGAAAGAGGGGUAACUUACCAGUCAGAUAUCUACUCCCUUUUUUAAUGUUAUAUAGACCUGGAUGCUUAGCUUGUUUGUGCAACCCUAGUCAAUUUGCACAGCUUCGUUUGUACCAUUUUUUUUGGAAGAGGCAAAAUAAGUUCUGUUCUCAAAAUAGAGUCACCACAGGUGGAAACAUAACACUUGUCAAGAGUUCCGGUAGGAACAUGGAGCCUGA